CACAGACAAAACCACUCAGACACCGGGUUAAGAAGGAAGUGGCUUUAUUUGGCCAGGAGCAUCAGCAGACUUGCAUGUCAAGAACUGAGCUCUCUGAAGAAAGAGUUCCUGGCCCUUUUAAGAACUUACAACUCUAAGGGGUUCACGUGAAAGGGUUGUGAUAGAUUGACAUUCAGAGAUAGCAUAUGUGAUUAGAGGGGGGCUAAUCUUUAACCUCUCUCUUCAUUCCCCCAUUUGAGAACCUUACUCACUAGUGGGAGGUCUCACUCUCAUCUUCACUACCCAGGUCUUUCUGCAAGACAGAUCGACAGUGAUUCAUGUAAUACACUUGUGUAUUACAAGACAUUCAUGUAAUACAUUUGUGCUGAAGUUUUCUGAUGAACCAAGGUAGUAACAAAACUUCUUAGAAGUUGGAGAAAUAUGGGUAACAAACAAAGGAGCAAUAGGAGGGUUGCAGCUGGAGAUCUGGGGAGGAGCUGGUGUUUUUUAGUUUGAGGGUCAUGCAGCUAUAGACCCUGGGAGGAGCAGGAGUUUCUUUAGUUUGAGGGUUGGGCAGCUGCAGAACCCGGGAGAAUCUGAUGUUCUGGUUUGAGGGUCCUGCAGCUGGAGACCCAGAGAGCAGCUGGUGUUUCUUUAGUUUGAUGGCCGUGCAGCUGUAGAACCCAGGGGGAGCUGGUAUUUUUCUAGUAUGAGUGUCCUGCAGCUGGAGACCUGGAGAAGAGCUGAUGUUCUAGUUUGAGGGUCGUGCCGCUGAAGACUCAGGGAGAAGCUGAUGUUCUCGUUUGAGGAUACUGCAGCUGGAGACCUGGAGAGGAGCUGAUGUUAUUCUAGUUUGAGGAUCAUGGAGCUUGAGAUCCACAGAGGAGCAGGUAUUGUUCUAGAUUGAGGUUCAUGUAGCUGAAGACCUGGGGAGCAGCGGGUGUUUUUUAGUUUGAGGGUCAUGCAGCUGUAGAACCCGGGAGGAGCUGGUGUUUUUCUAGUAUGAGUGUCCUGCAGCUGGAGACCUGGAGAGGAGCUGAUGUUGUUCUAGUUUGAGGGUUGUGCAGCUGAAGACUUGGAGGGGAGCUGAUGUUGUUCUUGUUGAGGGUCUUUCAGCUGGAGACCCAGAGAGGAGCUGAUGUGGUUCUAGUUUAAGGGUCAUGGAGCUGGAGACCCAGAGAGGAGCUGGUGUUGUUCUGAUUUGAGGUUCAUGCAGCUGGAGACUUGGAGAGGAGCUGAUGUUGUUCUAGUUUGAGGGUCAGGCAACUGAAGACCCGGGGAGGAGCUGAUGUUGUUCUAGUUUGAGGUUCAUGCAGCUGGAGACCUGGGGAGCAGCGGGUGUUUUUUAGUUUGAGGGUCAUGCAGCUGUAGAACCCGGGAGGAGCUGGCGUUUUUCUAAUAUGAGUAUCCUGCAGCUGGAGACCAGGAGAGUUGCUGAUGUUCUAGUCUGAAGGUCGUGCAGCUGAAGACGGGGGAGGGUUCUAGUUUGAGUGCCCUGCAGCUGAAGACUCGGGAAGGAGCUGAUGUUGUCCUUGUUUUACGAUCUUUCAGCUGGAGACUCAAAGAGGAGCUGAUGUUGUUCUAAUUUGAGUGUAAUGGAGCUGGAGACCCGGGGUGGAGCUGAUGUUGUUCUAGUUUGAGUGUUGUGCAGCUGGAGAUCCAAGAAGGAGGUGGUCUUGUGGUUCAAAUCUGAGGGUCCUGGAGCUGGAAUCUAUGGGAGGAGUCAAUGCUGCCACUGAUGUCUUAGAUUGUGCAGCAGAAGACCCACAGAGGAGCCGGUGUUGGUGUUCUAGUGUGAGGGUGUGGAUCUGGAGAUCCAUGGGGGAGUGACGUUCUUCUAGUUUUUGGGUUGUGGUGCUGGAGACCCAGGGAGGAGCUCAUGGUGUUCUAGUUGAGGGUCGUGGUGCUGGAGACCCAGGGAGGAGUCGAUCCUUCUGUUGUUUAAGUCUGAAGGUCAUCGAGCUGGAGAUCCGGGGAAGAGCUGGUGCUGCGGUUCAAGUCUGAGGGUCGUCAAGCUGGAGAUCCGGGGAAGAGCUGGUGCUGCGAUUCAAGUCUGAGGGUCCUGGAGCUUGAGACCCCAGGAGGAGAUGGUGCUGCCACUAAUGUCUUAGAUUGUAAAGCUGGAGAUCUGUGGAGGAGCUGGUGUUUCUGUUCUAGUGUAAGGUUUGUGGAUCUGGAGUCCCAGGGGUGAGCAGUGUUGUUUUAGUUUGAGGGUCAUGGAGUUAGAGACCCGGGGAGGAGCUGAUGUUGUAGUUUGAGGGUCGUGCAGCUGGAGACCCAGGGAGGAGCUGGUGUGUUUCUAGUUGGAGGGUUGUGGAGCUGGAGAUUCAC
rnacentral:lncRNA from 1 species